GUUGGAAGAGCCAACAACCGGAAGUGGAAGUGAGCCCCGGGCGGGGGGUGAGGAGAGCCCGUUGCACGCCUGCGCAAGCAGCAGGAUUGCAUUACGCAGGCGCAGUUGGGCGGUGACGGGGUGACGCUCGAAGCGUGGGCCGCGACUCUCACGGAUCCGGUUCCGCCCUCCCUCUGGUUGCCGACCCUCCGGGGCUAGCGCCUGAGAUCCCUUUCCCAGAGUGCUCUGCGCUGUGAAGAAGCGGCUCCCGGGGACUGGGGGCAUUUUGUGUUGGCUGGAGCCGGAGUAACAAGAUGGCGGCGUCGGCGGAGUGACAGGAGUCCCUCCGGGCGGGAGCCGGCGGCAGUGGUGGCAGCGGUAUCGCCGCCCUAAACCACCGCGCCCCUUUUCCAGCCCGCGACGUCGCCGUGAAAGCGAGGCAGCGGCGGCCGCCCAGGAACAAGUGGCCCAGCCUGGUAACCGCGAGAACCCCCUCAUAAACUGCGGCCUGGCAAAAAGAAGCCGGACUGAGCGGCGGUGAUCAGGUUCCCCUUGACCGAGUCUGGGCCCUGUAACGCCUGGAAAGAGCCAGCGCUUGCCGUUUCCUGCCGCCCUCCUCCGCAGCCUGCUCAGUGGACGAGCCCCAGAGCCUCUGUUCUCCCCUCAGAGGUGUCGGGGCUUGGCCCCAGCCUCCAUCUUCGUCUCUCAGGAUGGCGAGCAGCAGCGGCUCCAAGGCCGAAUUCAUUGUCGGAGGGAAAUAUAAACUGGUACGGAAGAUCGGGUCUGGCUCCUUCGGGGACAUUUAUCUGGCGAUCAACAUUACCAACGGCGAGGAAGUGGCAGUGAAGCUAGAAUCUCAGAAGGCCAGGCAUCCCCAGUUGCUGUACGAGAGCAAACUCUAUAAGAUCCUUCAAGGUGGGGUGGGCAUCCCCCACAUACGGUGGUAUGGUCAGGAAAAAGACUACAAUGUGCUAGUCAUGGAUCUUCUCGGACCCAGCCUCGAAGACCUCUUCAAUUUCUGUUCAAGAAGGUUCACAAUGAAAACUGUACUUAUGUUAGCUGACCAGAUGAUCAGUAGAAUUGAAUAUGUGCAUACAAAGAAUUUUAUACACAGAGACAUUAAACCAGAUAACUUCCUAAUGGGUAUUGGGCGUCACUGUAAUAAGUUAUUCCUUAUUGAUUUUGGUUUGGCCAAAAAGUACAGAGACAACAGGACAAGGCAACACAUACCAUACAGAGAAGAUAAAAAUCUCACUGGCACCGCCCGAUAUGCUAGCAUCAAUGCACAUCUCGGUAUUGAACAGAGCCGCCGAGAUGACAUGGAAUCAUUAGGAUAUGUUUUGAUGUAUUUUAAUAGAACCAGCCUGCCCUGGCAAGGACUAAAGGCUGCGACAAAAAAGCAAAAAUAUGAAAAGAUAAGUGAAAAGAAGAUGUCCACUCCUGUUGAAGUUUUAUGUAAGGGGUUUCCUGCAGAAUUUGCCAUGUACUUAAACUAUUGUCGUGGGCUGCGCUUUGAGGAAGCCCCGGAUUACAUGUAUCUGAGGCAGCUAUUCCGCAUUCUUUUCAGGACUCUGAACCACCAGUAUGACUACACAUUUGAUUGGACAAUGUUAAAGCAGAAAGCAGCACAGCAGGCAGCCUCUUCAAGUGGGCAGGGUCAGCAGGCCCAAACCCCCACAGGCAAGCAAACUGACAAAACCAAGAGUAACAUGAAAGGUUAGUAGCCAAGAACCAAGUGACGUGACAGGGAACAAAUUGAACACAAAAUUGGGUAAUUCCUUCAUUUCUAACAGUGUUAGAUCGAGGAAGUGGUUUUGAAAGAAGUAAAAAUUUGGCUCUGUGUUUUUACAAAGAGACGUCCUUGGAAAAUUUGACUACUAACUUUAAACCCAAAUGUCCUUGUUCAUAUAUAUAUGUAUAUGUAUUUGUAUAUACAUAUAUGUGUGUAUAUAUUAUAUCAUUUCUCUUGGGAUUUUGGGUCAUUUUUAACAACUGCAUCUUUUUUACUCAUUCAUUAACCCUUUCCAAAAUAAACAUUUGGUGUUGGGAAUAUGGUAUACUCAAUCAAUCCAAAAUCCUAGACCUAACACUUGUUGAUUUUUAAUAAUGAAUCUGGUUAGCCGUGGUAUUUUGACUUUCAGACUAACAGUGUUAAGAAUUUUUCUGCAUGUUAAUGCUGUAGCAUUUAAAAUGAAAAAUGGUGAACAUGGUCCGAUUUCCAGAGGUGGUGCGUCUGGCAUUGACCCCAAAGUGUCUAUCUUCUCGGUUGCGGAGCAUCUCAUUUACGUUCUUAAAUGCUCAAAUAACUGAAAAGCUCGACACAUCUUUCCUACUCAAGAACCAGAUCUCUCUUUUGGUUGCUAUUUAACUACCUAGGUUCUUAAUUUUAAAACGCUUGUUUUGUUUUAGGCUUUCUUUUAUGGAACCUUGCAAAUACUCAGGGUCUGGGAAUUCAUUAUGGAAUUGAACUCUGCAGUUAGGCCUUGCAAAUUGGAAAAAACUGGGGCAAAUGCCACUGAACUGCUAGUCUCUUUCCUUUCUGUCUCUGGCACUCUUGGUGCUACUAAGGAGUAGAACUGUUGGGGCACAUUCUUGUCACUGUUGCCAUACAGUUCGACUCCCGAGUUUCAUGGUUUUUGUUUGCUUUUCUUUACCCCCGUUGUUCCCUUUCUGGGGCUUACCUCCUGAUACCUGCCUACUUUCUGGAAGGGGUGGGCAGGUAAGGUUUGGUUUUUGUGGUUUCUAAUUAUUUCAUUUCUGAAUGACUGCUCUAGUCUGAACCUAGCCUUCUUUGGGCUAUAUUUUUAGUAUUGUAUCUGAACAGUUUGGUAAUUUAAAAACAGAUUCCGAUCUGAGGUUACUUUUCAAGAAGGAGAAUUCACUGGUGUCAUCCUCAUCCCAGCAGCUCAUCUGUUAGGAAUGAAGUUGAGAUUCUUUUCUUCAACAUUUCUGUAUUGGGGGAGGAUUCACAGCUGAAAGCUUAGCGUAACGGGGGUUCUUAGAUGAUGAAAUUUCCGCUCAGGAUAACAAACACUGAUGCUUGCCUCUGCAUCUCAGUUGGGACCUAAUUUUCCCUUUUGAGUGUUUUAAUCAUGAUAUAGCUAAUCAGAGUGCCAAACUCUUAAUGCGCUAGGUAGCUAGCUGGUAUCACUGAGAAACGGUCCUACCAGUGUAACGUCUCUAAACUUAGGACUUGUUAUGCCUAACAUCUAUUAAGGUAUUUGCUUUUUUUCAUAAAAUGAAACCAAUUUUUGCCUAAAGCUAGCUGGGAUAAUAGGAUCAUCACGAGUUGCAGUUUCUAGAACUAAAAUUAGAUUGAAAUCUCAUCUGACCUAGAACAUUUCACUUCAGGCAUUCAGCAGCCUUCAGAAAGAAUUCCCUUAUUUUGAGUUAGUUCCAUUGUUAGUUUACUGUGUGUCUCUUUCUCAAUAAACAAGCAGAAUUUUUGUCCUGCCUCAUCUAGGUCUUAAAGAUGAGAAGUUGGAUCCAGUGAGUUAGUAUGUUUCCUUGGAAAAAAAAUUGUAAUUAAACUUAAGUUUAAUCCUUAAUUUUGUUUUGUAACUAUUUUUCAUAAAAGCAACUUUAAAUAUCUUACACAGUUUUCGGGGCACUUGGCUGGCUCAGUAGAGCAUAUGGCUCUUGAUCUCAGGGCCUGAGUUUUAGCCCCACUUUGGGGGUAGAGUUCACCUAAAAAAAAUAAAAAAUCUUGCAAAAUUUUCACGGCAAUCAUAGAAACAGGGUUUAUAUAAAUUACUACAUAAACAUCAACUUGUAAAAUAUUGAAAAAUUGGAUUUUUCAUAAAAUGCAUCAUUUACCAUUGACUGCUUUCAGAGAGACAUUUUCAGGUGGUAUAUUUUGAUUCCAAGCAAAAUACUGCUUGCUACUAAAAUGUACCAGGCCCUGGAAUACAAACAACAAAAUUGUGUUUGAUCUUUGGCUUCUCGAAACGUUUGUUUUGUCUUGGAUCUAGAACUUAGUGCCCCAGACAGAUCUCAUGUGAAAUCCCCUCAGUAUAAAGCCGUGAAUGUGUACGGCAGGUUUGAAGGUGGCAUGAAAUAAGUUUGGGGAGCCCACUUCCCUAACCCCAGCCGUAUUUAUCCAGACCAUAUUGAGAAAUCUCCUAUGAAGUCUGGAGUUUGAAGACAGUCCCUUUAGGUGACUUACUCCUUAUGUCAAUCUCUAUGUAAUUAGGGUGUUUAAAAGCAUGUUAUUCUCUUAGGGUCCACUACAGUCAUUUUUUUAUUCAAGGAAGAGCUCCCCUGCAGCUCAACUCUUGAAGUCCUUUCAGUGACGAUAACAUCAUAUAAUACAUUUUUCUGGUUAAAACUUUAGAAGGCACUUACCUAAUACAUCCUAUCAGUUUUUGUUCACGGAAUUAUAUGCUGAGGUUUUCCAAAGCAGAGAAUUUGGUUUCUUAAAUGUAUCUUAAGCACAUGAAACUGUAUACUGCAGGGAUAUCUAUUCCUGGAAAAAUCCCCGGAACUGGUUGACAUACUAAUAUAUUUUACGUUAUUAGUUUUAGUUUUUGAAAAUUGUAUAUGGGAUGUUUCUUCCAUGGAAAGGUGUGUGUGUAAUAAGUUGUUUCAGCAGUUCACUGUGAAUGUCCAAAAAGUCUUUUAAAGUCUGACUUACUCAGCUAAGAUGGGUUUUAUACGUGUAAUAGACUUCUAUCCUAAUUACUUUUCUAAAGAAAAGAUCUUUUGAAGUACUCCAUUCCAAGGCCCAUCAAAAGACUAAGAAAUAAGGUGUUUCUUGUUUCUUGUAAAGCCCACUAUGAUGUGUACUAAUUUUCGGUGCUCUUAUGCCACAAGAUUAUAAUUAGUUUUUAUACAUGUUAAAGAGAAAAAUAAAAGAUUCACAUCUGAGACACUUCCAAAUUCAUUUCGCUUCCUUUUAUUCAACUGUAUGUGAUUAUCAGGAAAGUAGUUUUUAAGACAUUUAAGAAGUACUAAAGGGAAAAGGAAAUCUUUUUAGGACAUUCAGAAUCCAGUUGAGUUCACCAUUUCUUUAGUUGAGGUCAGAGAUGGGGAGAAUUUCAGAAGGUAGUGAAGCCAAAGUUGGAUCCUUACAUAAUUCUAUUAUCAUCUUAGUCCCUCUGUUCACUACUCCAAGCCGUUGAUAUUAAGCAUAGUUUUAUCAUAAUCACAUACGUGGAUGUCAGAUUGUUGACAGUCAAAAAAUAGAAAUUUUUUUCUAUCACAUUCUCCUACCAUGUCCAUGGUCUUCCUUGAAUUACCUUCCAGUGUUUACUGGAAUUCACCUACCAUUUAUGUCUAGCUUAACUUUUUCUGACUUCACCAAUUGCUGCUAGGAACGUGGCUGGUCACUCAGCAACGUAACCCAAAUCACAGGGGAAGACCUUGAAAUAAUCUGGAGACUGAUCUUCUCUGAAUACACUCAAUCUAAAGAAGUGCCAGGGAGCUGCUUCUGCUUGCUGAAAUUUUUGUCAGCUUUUUUCAUUGUGGACACUACCACUGGAGAGAAAAGAGCUCAGUAACCCAACAGGAAAUGAAGACGAGUGUGCAAGAAUUGAUUUGUGGUCAUCUGAAUGAAUCUCACAUCUCCAAGGCUGGCUGGACUUACCAAACAUGAACUUGUCAGAAAAUCUGGACGAUACCACAACAGUCAGAAGACCUAGAGGAGUACAGUGUUGCUGUGACUCAGUGGUGUAUAAUGCAGACCAUCUACCAGUUGGGGAAGGAAUCAAUUGUAACAGGAGCAAAGGGAUCCCCUCCUUAUUUUAACUGUUGUUGCAGUGAAGAUGGGUGUUUGGACUUUUAGAAGCCAGGAGACACCACCUAAAUUACAAGAUAAAAACCAAGGAAUCAAUGCACACUGGAAAAAGGAAUGCACUUGAAGAUUGAAUGUUGAAUACUUGCUGAAUGCUCCCAUUGAGAUUUUUCCUACAUAAACUUGAGUAACAUCUUAGGACAAUUCUCUGGAGAAACAUUGAUCCCAGGGUGGAGUAUCCUACCAUUGGCCAAUCUGAAGAGUUACAUCUGGAUCUGACUGCUCUAUUCCUCCAGGAAUAUUUUUAGGCUAGCCUCUGUCUGAUUCCUAAGCAAUUGUAAUCAUUAACUGACCCAGUAAUUUCUCAAAUAUCAGAUGAACAGAUACAGUUCUUACCUAGAUCUAAUUUUUAUUCCUAUUAAAGACACAAGAGUGUUCUAAUAUUUUGACAUUGUAACUUACGUUUUCUUUUUAGUUAGUGAUAGCGGUUUCUAUUUUAAAGCUGUUUGGCUAUUCAACGUAGUAAUUAGAUUAUUCAGUAUAACGUAAUCACAUAGCAAGGUGUGGUAAACAGUUUUAGUAGCUGUGUAAACAGUUUUCUUUAUCAUAUUUAAGAAUAAUUGCAGGACUUGAAAUCAAAUGCUCAUCAGGGUAAGGGUCAUCUCUGAUUAGCUAAUUCAUAGUUUUAAUUUGCUUCACAGUAUUCUGUAUUUUAACAUUGGAAUUACGUUACAGAAUAUGGUCUUAAUUUUAAGGUUUUUAAUUCAGGUUUGAUCUGACAGCCUUUUCUUUUUGUGCUUACUUUGCUAAUUCUCUUUAGUAAUAUAUACCAAAUAGAAUAUUCCUUGUGGUGAAGUUCAUUUUCAGAAAGCUUCAUAAAAUUUUUCAUUUUGGCAUUUACUUUAUGAAUUUAGUACUUGGGCAGGCAACAGAGGUUUAUUUUAUUUAUUUUUUUUUUUAACAGAGGUUUAUUUUGUGUCUACUCUGUUAGUCGGCGUAGAGAGCGAAAGAAUGUGUACAGCACUAUCCUCAGAGUGUUAGCACAAUGUGUUUUUAAACGAAUUAAGAUGACUUUCAGCCCUCAAAUGAACAAAUUCCUAGUUAAUGAGUGAGCCCAUAUUUCCCCAAAAAUGAUAUAUAAAUGUUUGGUGUUAUCUUUGCGGGGGGGGGGGGGGGAGGGGUGUGUGGGGAGGCAUAGAUUUUAGAAGCAUAUUAUUUGUCCCACAGAGUCCAUUGGAAAUGGUCCAGCGAAUGUUUGAGAAGCACAAAGAAGGGAGAAGUUUAUGAUG